AAAUGGAGAACACGUUCGGCCCUUCGUGUGUCACAAGACUCAGUGAAUCACGAGUCUCCUCACCAACGUGAGCUUUUUGAAGUCCUAGCCCCAAAGAAAUCACCAAAUUGGACUCAUCAAAGCACCUAUCUGUAGGCAGCUCUACAAAAAUCAAUGAUACCACCUUGGGUCUUUGUAAGCCGCCCCGGGAGUGGAUGAACAGGAAGUGAACCACACUCGACACGGCUCGGUGAGCAAACCACCUCUUACUGAAACCUGCAUCCUCACAGAGGAACUACUGGGUAAGAAGUAGUUUUAUUGUUUCUGUUCACCCGGGAGUACCAGGCCGGACCAUCAGGCACUUAUUAACCAAUCAGAGGUUGUUUUGAGAGGUUAAUGAGGUCUACUGGAAUUCUGGCUCUUCUACUUGCCAUUCUGACGUGUUUUUUAAAGGAAAGUAUCUCACGGAAACCAAUGUGUGUUAUGGCAAGAAACUGAACUAAAAAAGGAGUUUUUUGGGGCGCCUGGGUGGCUCAGUCAGAUCUCAUGUUCGUGG